GGAGGCAUAGCUCAGCGGUAGAGCAUUCGACUGCAGAUCGAGAAGCCCCCGGUUCGAGCCCUGGGUUUUCU
rnacentral:tRNA from 1 species